rnacentral:lncRNA from 1 species
GCUACACGAAGGCUUCCCCGGGUUGUAACUUUUUGUAUUCUUGAAGCAAUUCUUAGGAGCAUGAAUCGGCACGCCCAGGCUUGCUAAGAUGACCCAAAUGCAAAUGAGAGCCUGACCAAAACAUUUUUAAACUCUGUAUACGGAGUUAUUUUGAAAUCAGGACCAGAGCUAACUCUGCAGGAAGAAGGAAAAAAACUUGAAAAAGAGCAUGUCCACAAAACAUCCCGUGACCUACAGAAGAGAAAACAGACCAUCAAGCUAGAAGGAGAAAAGACUGAUUGAGGGGAAGAUCAGAGUGGAUGAGAGAAUCCACUAUCCUCCAUGGAGACAGACACCGUCAAGGACAAGCACCUGGAUCAUCUCCUCCCCACAAAGAGAUACAGGCUGGUGGGAAAGCUGCUGACCAGCAAGAUCACGGGCUCCCUCCUCUCUGCAAGUAGUCUCAAGGCCAAAGACAAGCUGGUGGGAAAGCUCCAACCAGCAAGGCCAUAUGCUCCCGCCUCCCCUACCUAAAACCCCAAAUAAAAACCCUUCCUUUUAGCUUUUUGGGGAGUUUGGGAUUUCAGCAUUAGCUGCCCUCUCUCCUUGCUCAGAGCUGUGCAAAAAUAAAAUUCCUACUUUCUUCCACUA